rnacentral:rRNA from 1 species
AGUUUGAUCCUGGCUCAGGAUGAACGCUGGCGGCGUGCCUAAUACAUGCAAGUCGAACGAAUCUCUUUUAGAGAUGAGUGGCGAACGGGUGAGUAAUACAUAGGUAACCUGCCCCUGUGCGGGGGAUAACAGGAGGAAACUCCUGCUAAUACCGCAUAGCCAUGAGCACCGCAUGGAGCUCAUGCCAAAUAUCCUUUAUGGGAUAGCGCAGGGAUGGACCUAUGGCGCAUUAGCUGGUUGGCGGGGCAACGGCCCACCAAGGCAACGAUGCGUAGCCGGCCUGAGAGGGCGGACGGCCACAUUGGGACUGUGACACGGCCCAGACUCCUACGGGAGGCAGCAGUAGGGAAUUUUCGGCAAUGGGGGAAACCCUGACCGAGCAACGCCGCGUGAGCGAAGAAGGCCUUCGGGUCGUAAAGCUCUGUUGUAAAGGAAGAACGGCGCAUACAGGAAAUGGUAUGCGAGUGACGGUACUUUACCAGAAAGCCACGGCUAACUACGUGCCAGCAGCCGCGGUAAUACGUAGGUGGCGAGCGUUAUCCGGAAUCAUUGGGCGUAAAGAGGGAGCAGGCGGCCGCAAGGGUCUGUGGUGAAAGCCCGAAGCUAAACUUCGGUAAGCCAUGGAAACCGGGCGGCUAGAGUGCGGAAGAGGAUCGUGGAAUUCCAUGUGUAGCGGUGAAAUGCGUAGAUAUAUGGAGGAACACCAGUGGCGAAGGCGACGGUCUGGGCCGCAACUGACGCUCAUUCCCGAAAGCGUGGGGAGCAAAUAGGAUUAGAUACCCUAGUAGUCCACGCCGUAAACGAUGGUCACUAAGUGUCGGGGGUCAAACCCCGGUGCUGCAGUCAACGCAAUAAGUGACCCGCCUGAGUAGUACGUUCGCAAGAAUGAAACUCAAAGGAAUUGA